UGGGGAAUUUUGCACAAUGGAGGAAACUCUGAUGCAGCGACGCCGCGUGAGUGAUGAAGAUCUUCGGAUUGUAAAACUCUGUCCUUAGUGAAGAUAAUGACAGUAACUAAGAAGCAAGCCCUGGCUAAAUACGUGCCAGCAGCCGCGGUAAUACGUAUGGGGCAAGCGUUGUCCGGAAUUAUUGGGCGUAAAGGGUACGUAGGCGGUUUAAUAAGUCCUAAUUAAAAGGCUAUGGCUCAACCAUAGUAUGGUUAGGAAAAUGUUGAACUUGAGUAGAUGAGGGGAAAGUGGAAUUCCAUGUGUAGCGGUGAAAUGCGUAGAUAUAUGGAGGAACACCAAUGGCGAAGGCAACUUUCUGGAAUCAAACUGACGCUGAGGUACGAAGGCGUGGGGAGCAAACAGG
rnacentral:rRNA from 1 species